rnacentral:rRNA from 1 species
AUAUUGCACAAUGGAGGAAACUCUGAUGCAGCGACGCCGCGUGAGCGAUGAAGGUUUUCGAAUCGUAAAGCUCUGUCCCAUGGGAAGAUAAUGACGGUACCAUGGGAGGAAGCCCCGGCUAACUACGUGCCAGCAGCCGCGGUAAUACGGAGGGGGCUAGCGUUGUCCGGAAUUACUGGGCGUAAAGGGUUCGCAGGCGGAAAUACAAGUCAGGUGUAAAAGGCGGAGGCUUAACCUCCGUAAGCAUUUGAAACUGUAUUUCUUGAGAUAUGGAGAGGCAAGUGGAAUUCCUAGUGUAGCGGUGAAAUGCGUAGAUAUUAGGAGGAAUACCAGUGGCGAAGGCGACUUGCUGGACAUAUACUGACGCUGAGGAACGAAAGCAUGGGUAGCAAACAG